ACUCAAAGGAAUAGACGGGGACCCGCACAAGCGGCGGAGCGUGUGGUUUAAUUCGAUGCGACGCGAAGCACCUUACCUGGGUUCAAUGCUAGUUGCACCAGGGGUAAUGCCCUGUCCCCGCAAGGGGCGAUUAGCACGGUGCUGCAUGGCUGUCGUCAGCUCGUGCCGUGAGGUGUUGGGUUAAGUCCCCUAACGAGCGCAACCCCCGUGGACGGUUAUCCCUCCGUUCAGACUGCCGCGCACAACGCGGAGGAAGGUGGGGAUGAUGUCAAGUCAGCACGGCCCUUACGCCCAGGGCCACACACACGCUACAAUGGGCUGGACAAUGGGCGGCAACACGGCGACGUGAAGCGAAUCCCGUAAACCAGUCCUCAGUUCGGAUGGCAGGCUGCAACUCGCCUGCCUGAAGUCGGAGUCGCUAGUAACCGCCGGUCAGCACACGGCGGUGAAUACGUUCCCGGGUCUUGCACACACCGCCCGU
rnacentral:rRNA from 1 species